rnacentral:rRNA from 1 species
CGUCCCUAACCCCCGACCCAACGGGGGAAACGGUACGCCAAAGUUGUGGUUGGUGAUUGGGGUG